CAGAAUCUCAAUACUGGAAAACAGCACUUAGAGCCAAUUUCCUCCGUAAUCUCCUCCCACCUCCCGACCUCCUCUGAAUUCAUCUGUGUGGUCCAAGCAGACCCACGUGCAGAAGUCUAGCUGCAAGGGAGUCCUGACACCAAGCUCCCAGCUUUCCCACCUGCAGGACAGGUCGGCCCAGGACAAUGAGGGUGGAGCGGUCGAUAGACUCCUACUCUCCACACCCAACUGCACCAUGGCUAGGGGCACAAAUGCUGAAUCAGACUUCCUGGAUUCAAACCCAGCUCCGUCACGUACCAGCCCAAUGGCCCUGGACAUGGCACAGAGCUCCGUGUGUAUCAGUGUUUUCAUCCAUAAAAUGGGGAUAAUGAUAGGACCUGCUUCAAAUGAUCGUCAUGAAGAUGAAACCUUCCCUGUAUAUAAACCCUUGCUGCUUACUGUCAUGAACUCAGAAACAAGUGAUUCAAACAGGGAGGAACCCCCGAGCACGUAAGGCACGGAACCACAGCCCGCACAUCGUAAGUGCCGUCAAAGUGUUUGCUCUACGGCUUCAAAACUUCAAAAGUGACUCCCCAGUAACAGCUUCAAUAAGACAAGGACGGGAGUGGCUCCAGCCACGUUGGAGCACGUCGGUGCUGGAUUCCUUUUUAUGGCCAGAAAAUAGUCCCUUGUGUGGACAUACACACUUUGUCCUUUCCUCGGCUGCCGGACGUUCUGGUCGUUUCCACUUCUGGCCGUUGUGAACAGUGCUCCUAUGAACAUUCACGUACACGUCUGUGUGGACGUCGGUUUUCAUUUCUCUCGGGUAUACACCCAGAAGUGGAAUCACUGGGUCACACAGGGUCCUUGGUUCCAAGAUCAUCAAAACCUUGGGACCUGACGUACUGGGUCAGUCCUGAAGUGUUUGUGGGCUGGGAUUCUGGGCCACCCUACGUCCCUGCUGUCUUCCUGUCUGGCUCAUCAUGGAACUGCCAUCCCGUGCUCAACACACCAAGUCUUCCAGAAACUAUUUAUACCCCAGCUGGAGUUCCCAUGGCGCGAAUUCUCUGGGUGCAUACACAGAUAUUCCGACAACGCCUCCGUAAUUCAGUACAAGAAACCUGUCAGAAAGUAGAGCCCACCUGUUAAGACUACUGAUUUCUGCAUGGAGAGAAGGAUGUGUGCUGCCAAAACUGGAAACGUUGCUUUGAUACUAUGCUACUUAAUUAUUUUCUACGUUAUAAGCAAAGGAUGUCAUGAGACAGUGAGCUCUGGUGUAAGAGUGCUGGCAAUCUAAAGACAGAACUGUGUUUUCUACUCCUCCUUUAGCUUGGUGCCUUAUCACAGGGUCACGCAUGGAGAAGGUGAUCAAACCGUGGAAAAGGCACAGAGCAGAGCCCAGACAGAGAUCACACUCAUAGGUUCGAAUGAGGCUUCCAGCCCUCCCGAGCUGUGUGACUCAGACAGCCUUCUUAACCUCUCUGUGCUCCGCUUCCUCAACUAUGGAGUGGACAAGGGGUGUACAUUGGUGUACAAUGAAGAGUAACUGAAUUACUGCCCACCAAGCACCUGGAAGGGUCCCUGGCACAGCGCGGGCACUAUAUUCUUAAUCAAUAAAUGAGAAUUAGCAUCUUUUGAGUGUUGAUUU
ensembl:lncRNA